rnacentral:rRNA from 1 species
AGAGUUUGAUCCUGGCUCAGGAUGAACGCUGGCGGCGUGCCUAAUACAUGCAAGUCGAACGCACUGUGGUUCAACUGAUUUGAAGAGCUUGCUCUGAUAUGACGAUGAACAUUGCAGUGAGUGGCGAACGGGUGAGUAACACGUGGGAAACCUACCUCUUAGCGGGGGAUAACAUCUGGAAACAGAUGCUAAUACCGCAUAACACUAGCAACCGCAUGGUUGCUACUUGAAAGAUGGUUCUGCUAUCACUAAGAGAUGGUCCCGCGGCGCAUUAGUUAGUUGGUGAGGUAAUGGCUCACCAAGACGAUGAUGCGUAGCCGAGUUGAGAGACUGAUCGGCCACAAUGGGACUGAGACACGGCCCAUACUCCUACGGGAGGCAGCAGUAGGGAAUCUUCCACAAUGGACGAAAGUCUGAUGGAGCAACGCCGCGUGUGUGAUGAAGGGUUUCGGCUCGUAAAACACUGUUGUAAGAGAAGAAUAGCAUCAAGAGUAACUGCUUGGUGUGUGACGGUAUCUUACCAGAAAGGAACGGCUAAAUACGUGCCAGCAGCCGCGGUAAUACGUAUGUUCCAAGCGUUAUCCGGAUUUAUUGGGCGUAAAGCGAGCGCAGACGGUUUUUUAAGUCCGAAGUGAAAGCCCACAGCUUAACUGUGGAAGUGCUUUGGAAACUGGAUGACUUGAGUGCAGUAGAGGAGAGUGGAAUUCCAUGUGUAGCGGUGAAAUGCGUAGAUAUAUGGGAGGAACACAGUGGCGAAGCGGCUCUCUGGGACUGUAACUGACGUGAGGCUCGAAAGUGGUGGGGUAGCAAACAGGAUAGAUACCC